rnacentral:misc_RNA from 1 species
AGUGAAUUUCUAAUUAGAAGUUGAAAGAUAUUUUUUAGAAUUUAAUUUUUAUGUCAUCUCUUUAGAAUGGUUGUAUGGUACUUGGACCAACAUAACUUAUAAACAGUGCUUUUUUGCGAGAUUUAUUUAUCUGUCAUAAUAUUGAAGUCCAAUACAUACAUGUACAUCUGUCUGAGAAAUUGUGAUUUAUUUUAUGGAAUAUUGAUAUUGUAUAAUGUAAAUUGAUAUUUCUGUUCGAUUCUCUCAUUUACAGAGAUAUUUCUAACAAGGAACUAUAAAUAUUAUUUAAACUUGUUGUGAAUCAUCGAGAUAUAACAUAUUCACAAGACUACAUUCUGUGUAUUUUACAGAGUAUGCUUGCAUUUAUUACCUGUUACAGAUUAAAAAUACAGUGAAUGUGCUUGUUCAGGUUUAGAGUGCUACACAUUUGAAAGCAUUUCGUUUCUGUUUUGGUUUAAUUUUUCAAAACCUUAGAAUAUUGACAUUCAGUGUUCUUUAAAGGUUAUUAAAAUUUCAACAUUCAUUUCACAUAAUCAUUGCAAAAAUCAUUGUUUUUAUUAUAGUUUUAAGAUUGAUAAUUAAACAUUAUAACAGUAUUACAAUAAAUUAUUAUUUAUCAUGCAAAUUUUUACAUGAAUUGAAAUGUACAUUUCUUGCAAGUAUCUGAGCAUAAUAUGUAUUGCCAGCAAUGUGGUUGUGUAAAUUUUUGUGUCAUGUGCCUGAAGCAUUGAUUGCUUCAGUGAACAGAUAUCACCGUUCUAUAGGUGAUGGAGAUUGUACUUCAUUGUUUAAUGUGCCAAAUAUGAAGAUGUAGAGGAGGCAGAAAGAGAAACUAUCCAUGUGUUUUUAGAUGAACAUGGAAUUUAAAAUUUGCUAGUAUUUGUAAUUAAGCCAAAAAAAUAUUAAGUUACUGCUAUUUAUGUAUAUAUCUAGAGAAUGUUGAUAAAAAUAUGAAAGAACACGAAACCGAACUCAGUAAUAUUCCUCGACAUGCAAUACACACAACAAUAGAAUUUGAUGUGUAUUUAAUUUGUCUCCUUACUUGUAGUGUGCUUUCAGAAAAUGAACAAACACAUCACAACCAAAUGUGAAUAAAAUAUCAAUU